rnacentral:rRNA from 1 species
UACAGAGGGUGCAAGCGUUAAUCGGAAUUACUGGGCGUAAAGCGUGCGCAGACGGUUAUUUAAGUCAGGUGUGAAAGCCCAGGGCUCAACCUUGGAAUUGCAUUUGAGACUGAAUAGCUAGGGUGCGGAAGAGGGAAGCGGAAUUUCCGGUGUAGCGGUGAAAUGCGUAGAUAUCGGAAGGAACACCAGUGGCGAAAGCGGCUUCCUGGUCCAGCACCGACGUUCAGGCACGAAAGCGUGGGGAGCAAACAGG